AUUUAUAUAGUUUAACUUAAAACACUACAUUUUCAAUGAAGAGAUGAAUUAAUUUCUAUAAAUA
rnacentral:tRNA from 1 species